rnacentral:rRNA from 1 species
CCCGUACACAAAAGUGCAUGUGUUGUGAACUCGAAGAGUAGGGCGGGACACGUGGUAUCCUGUCUGAAUAUGGGGGGACCAUCCUCCAAGGCUAAAUACUCCUGACUGACCGAUAGUGAACCAGUACCGUGAGGGAAAGGCGAAAAGAACCCCGGCGAGGGGAGUGAAAAAGAACCUGAAACCGUGUACGUACAAGCAGUGGGAGCCUCUUUAUGGGGUGACUGCGUACCUUUUGUAUAAUGGGUCAGCGACUUAUAUUCUGUAGCAAGGUUAACCGAAUAGGGGAGCCGAAGGGAAACCGAGUCUUAACUGGGCGUUAAGUUGCAGGGUAUAGACCCGAAACCCGGUGAUCUAGCCAUGGGCAGGUUGAAGGUUGGGUAACACUAACUGGAGGACCGAACCGACUAAUGUUGAAAAAUUAGCGGAUGACUUGUGGCUGGGGGUGAAAGGCCAAUCAAACCGGGAGAUAGCUGGUUCUCCCCGAAAGCUAUUUAGGUAGCGCCUCGUGAAUUCAUCUUCGGGGGUAGAGCACUGUUUCGGCUAGGGGGUCAUCCCGACUUACCAACCCGAUGCAAACUGCGAAUACCGAAGAAUGUUAUCACGGGAGACACACGGCGGGUGCUAACGUCCGUCGUGAAGAGGGAAACAACCCAGACCGCCAGCUAAGGUCCCAAAGUCAUGGUUAAGUGGGAAACGAUGUGGGAAGGCACAGACAGCCAGGAUGUUGGCUUAGAAGCAGCCAUCAUUUAAAGAAAGCGUAAUAGCUCACUGGUCGAGUCGGCCUGCGCGGAAGAUGUAACGGGGCUAAACCAUGCACCGAAGCUGCGGCAGCGACACUAUGUGUUGUUGGGUAGGGGAGCGUUCUGUAAGCCGUUGAAGGUG